rnacentral:rRNA from 1 species
GGUUAAGCGACUAAGCGUACACGGUGGAUGCCCUGGCAGUCAGAGGCGAUGAAGGGCGUGCUAAUCUGCGAUAAGCGCCGGUAAGGUGAUAUGAACCGUUAUAACCGGCGAUACCCGAAUGGGGAAACCCAGUGUGACUCGUCACACUAUCAUUAACUGAAUCCAUAGGUUAAUGAGGCGAACCGGGGGAACUGAAACAUCUAAGUACCCCGAGGAAAAGAAAUCAACCGAGAUUCCCCCAGUAGCGGCGAGCGAACGGGGAGGAGCCCAGAGCCUGAAUCAGCAUGUGUGUUAGUGGAAGCGUCUGGAAAGGCGCGCGAUACAGGGUGACAGCCCCGUACACAAAAGCGCAUGUGCUGUGAGCUCGAUGAGUAGGGCGGGACACGUGGUAUCCUGUCUGAAUAUGGGGGGACCAUCCUCCAAGGCUAAAUACUCCUGACUGACCGAUAGUGAACCAGUACCGUGAGGGAAAGGCGAAAAGAACCCCGGCGAGGGGAGUGAAAAAGAACCUGAAACCGUGUACGUACAAGCAGUGGGAGCACCCUUUGGGGUGUGACUGCGUACCUUUUGUAUAAUGGGUCAGCGACUUAUAUUCUGUAGCAAGGUUAACCGAAUAGGGGAGCCGGAGGGAAACCGAGUCUUAAUUGGGCGUUAAGUUGCAGGGUAUAGACCCGAAACCCGGUGAUCUAGCCAUGGGCAGGUUGAAGGUUGGGUAACACUAACUGGAGGACCGAACCGACUAAUGUUGAAAAAUUAGCGGAUGACCUGUGGCUGGGGGUGAAAGGCCAAUCAAACCGGGAGAUAGCUGGUUCUCCCCGAAAGCUAUUUAGGUAGCGCCUCGUGAAUUCAUCUCCGGGGGUAGAGCACUGUUUCGGCUAGGGGGCCAUCCCGGCUUACCAACCCGAUGCAAACUGCGAAUACCGGAGAAUGUUAUCACGGGAGACACACGGCGGGUGCUAACGUCCGUCGUGAAGAGGGAAACAACCCAGACCGCCAGCUAAGGUCCCAAAGUCAUGGUUAAGUGGGAAACGAUGUGGGAAGGCCCAGACAGCCAGGAUGUUGGCUUAGAAGCAGCCAUCAUUUAAAGAAAGCGUAAUAGCUCACUGGUCGAGUCGGCCUGCGCGGAAGAUGUAACGGGGCUAAACCAUGCACCGAAGCUGCGGCAGCGAACGUAUCACUUAAAGCGAUUCAGCGGGUUACGAUUGACGGAGCGAAGCGACGUCAAAGCGUAUACAAAGUCGAGUCGGUUUAAGGAUACGUUCGUUGGGUAGGGGAGCGUUCUGUAAGCCUGUGAAGGUGUCCUGUGAGGGAUGCUGGAGGUAUCAGAAGUGCGAAUGCUGACAUAAGUAACGAUAAAGCGGGUGAAAAGCCCGCUCGCCGGAAGACCAAGGGUUCCUGUCCAACGUUAAUCGGGGCAGGGUGAGUCGACCCCUAAGGCGAGGCCGAAAGGCGUAGUCGAUGGGAAACGGGUUAAUAUUCCCGUACUUGGUGUUACUGCGAAGGGGGGACGGAGAAGGCUAUGUUGGCCGGGCGACGGUUGUCCCGGUUUAAGCGUGUAGGUGUGUGUUCCAGGUAAAUCCGGUUCACUUUAACACUGAGGCGUGACGACGAGGCACUACGGUGCUGAAGCAACAAAUGCCCUGCUUCCAGGAAAAGCCUCUAAGCAUCAGGUAACAUCAAAUCGUACCCCAAACCGACACAGGUGGUCAGGUAGAGAAUACCAAGGCGCUUGAGAGAACUCGGGUGAAGGAACUAGGCAAAAUGGUGCCGUAACUUCGGGAGAAGGCACGCUGACAUGUAGGUGAAGUGAUUUACUCAUGGAGCUGAAGUCAGUCGAAGAUACCAGCUGGCUGCAACUGUUUAUUAAAAACACAGCACUGUGCAAACACGAAAGUGGACGUAUACGGUGUGACGCCUGCCCGGUGCCGGAAGGUUAAUUGAUGGGGUCAGCGCAAGCGAAGCUCCUGAUCGAAGCCCCGGUAAACGGCGGCCGUAACUAUAACGGUCCUAAGGUAGCGAAAUUCCUUGUCGGGUAAGUUCCGACCUGCACGAAUGGCGUAAUGAUGGCCAGGCUGUCUCCACCCGAGACUCAGUGAAAUUGAACUCGCUGUGAAGAUGCAGUGUACCCGCGGCAAGACGGAAAGACCCCGUGAACCUUUACUAUAGCUUGACACUGAACAUUGAGCCUUGAUGUGUAGGAUAGGUGGGAGGCUUUGAAGCGUGGACGCCAGUCUGCGUGGAGCCGACCUUGAAAUACCACCCUUUAAUGUUUGAUGUUCUAACGUGGACCCGUAAUCCGGGUUGCGGACAGUGUCUGGUGGGUAGUUUGACUGGGGCGGUCUCCUCCUAAAGAGUAACGGAGGAGCACGAAGGUUGGCUAAUCCUGGUCGGACAUCAGGAGGUUAGUGCAAUGGCAUAAGCCAGCUUGACUGCGAGCGUGACGGCGCGAGCAGGUGCGAAAGCAGGUCAUAGUGAUCCGGUGGUUCUGAAUGGAAGGGCCAUCGCUCAACGGAUAAAAGGUACUCCGGGGAUAACAGGCUGAUACCGCCCAAGAGUUCAUAUCGACGGCGGUGUUUGGCACCUCGAUGUCGGCUCAUCACAUCCUGGGGCUGAAGUAGGUCCCAAGGGUAUGGCUGUUCGCCAUUUAAAGUGGUACGCGAGCUGGGUUUAGAACGUCGUGAGACAGUUCGGUCCCUAUCUGCCGUGGGCGCUGGAGAACUGAGGGGGGCUGCUCCUAGUACGAGAGGACCGGAGUGGACGCAUCACUGGUGUUCGGGUUGUCAUGCCAAUGGCACUGCCCGGUAGCUAAAUGCGGAAGAGAUAAGUGCUGAAAGCAUCUAAGCACGAAACUUGCCCCGAGAUGAGUUCUCCCUGAGACUUAGAGUCUCCUGAAGGAACGUUGAAGACGACGACGUUGAUAGGCCGGGUGUGUAAGCGCAGCGAUGCGUUGAGCUAACCGGUACUAAUGAACCGUGAGGCUUAACCUU